rnacentral:rRNA from 1 species
CACGGACCACUGCAUAUCAGUAAGCUGGAGGUCUUCGGCGUCCGCAUUGUAAUCUCAAGAAGUGUUUUCCGCUUCGGACCAUGCCUAAGUCCCUUGGAAAAGGGCAUCAUAGAGGGUGAUAAUCCCGUACAUGGCAUGGAGCGCCCGAAGCUUUGUGAUACGCUUUCUAAGAGUCGAGUUGUUUGGGAAUGCAGCUCAAAAUGGGUGGUAAAUGCCAUCUAAGGCUAAAUAUUGGGGAGAGACCGAUAGCGAACAAGUACAGUGAUGGAAAGAUGAAAAGAACUUUGAAAAGAGAGUUAAACAGUACGUGAAAUUGCCAAAAGGGAAGGGUAGGAGGUCAGAGAUGCGGCCUGGGAUUCAGCCUUGCUUUUGCUUGGUGUUUUUCCCAGAUUGCAGGCCAACGUCGGUUUUGGGCACUGGAGAAGGGUAGGAGGAACGUGGCACCUCUCGGGGUGUGUUAUAGCCUCCUACUGGAUACAGCGACCGAGACCGAGGACAGCAGCGUACUCGCAAGAGCGGGCCUUCGGGCACCUUUACGCUUAGGGCGUUGGCAUAAUGGCCCUCUACCACUCGUCUUGAAACACGGACCACUGCAUAUCAAUAAGCG